CAAUAGCGUAUAUUAAAGUUGUUGCAGUUAAAAAGCUCGUAGUUGGAUUUCUGGUACAACGCGCCUGGCCCGCUUUUGUGAGUGCCGGUGCGCGUUUGCCAUCCUUCUAGAAAACGUCUCUACUCGGGCAACUGGGCCGGAUUCGCGAUCUAGAUCUUUUACUUUUGAAAAAAUUAGAGUGUUUAAAGCAGGCAUUUGCUAUGAAUACAUUAGCAUGGAAUAAUAAUCUAGGACUUCGGUUCUAUUUUGUUGGUUUCUAGAUCUGAAGUAAUGAUUGAUAGGGAUAGUUGGGGGUGCUAGUAUUAAGGGGCCAGAGGUGAAAUUCUUGGAUUCUCUUAAGACUAACUUAUGCGAAAGCAUUCACCAAGGAUGUCUUCUUUAAUCAAGAACGAAAGUUGGGGGAUCGAAGAUGAUCAGAUACCA
rnacentral:rRNA from 1 species